rnacentral:rRNA from 1 species
UACGUAGGGGGCAGGCGUUGUCCGGAAUCAUUGGGCGUAAAGCGCGUGUAGGCGGCUCGGUAAGUCUGCUGUGAAAGUCCAGGGCUCAACCCUGGGAUGCCGGUGGAUACUGUCGAGCUCGAGUCCGGAAGAGGCGAGUGGAAUUCCUGGUGUAGCGGUGAAAUGCGCAGAUAUCAGGAGGAACACCAAUGGCGAAGGCAGCUCGCUGGGACGUGACUGACGCUGAGACGCGAAAGCGUGGGGAGCAAACAGG